rnacentral:rRNA from 1 species
UACGAAGGGGGCUAGCGUUGCUCGGAAUCACUGGGCGUAAAGGGUGCGUAGGCGGGUCUUUUAAGUCAGGGGUGAAAUCCUGGAGCUCAACUCCAGAACUGCCUUUGAUACUGAAGAUCUUGAGUUCGGGAGAGGUGAGUGGAACUGCGAGUGUAGAGGUGAAAUUCGUAGAUAUUCGCAAGAACACCAGUGGCGAAGGCGGCUCACUGGCCCGAUACUGACGCUGAUGCACGAAAAGCGUGGGGGAGCAAACAGG